rnacentral:snRNA from 1 species
AAUUAAUUAUUAUUAUUAGAUUA